UGAGGCCGUGUCCCAGUUGUCGUCACACUGGUUGAAAGUUCUCCUUGCAAAUCCUGAACCACCACCCCCACAAUGAUCCCGAACCAAAACUGGACUUCCGCCAUUUCCCCCCUCUCACUCACCGUGAACAGACCAGCACGGCAGCGCCCUAGUCCUCCCAUAGAAAUAGUUCGGUUCUUGGGUGUUCUAACCAACACCAAAGUCUCUUCACUUUACCAAGGGAUCAACAAGUGAGGAUUUGUGGGUCACUUUUAUUUUUAACGGACCGGUGCCAGAAACACUGGCUCAGCAUUUUAUACGUAUUUGCAUUUCAAACGAGGGUGCGUACAAUGCUGGAUUUGUUUCACGGCUCCUGUUGGAAAAAAAGGAUCCAUUCCUACAGUCCGUCAUCCACUCACUGCAGUAAGUACAUGCUUGAUAUUUAUAAUGUUUUAAAAUGUUAGUUUGUCCGUUUAAAAUGUAGUAACCUAUGUGUGAGUCAAGUUACUAGCUAGCUAUGCUAACGGCUACAGCCAUUCGACCGAGCCUUUCUCCCCUUCAAAUGUGCUCAUGUGGGCUCCUGCAGCCACACACCUGUGUGGAGAAAAGCUAAUGACUAACGGCAUCGAGCGGCUACAGGCAGGGAGCGGUGGGUCUAGCGUCUGUCCUUUUUCUGUAAUCUCAUACACCUGUGGGGAACAGCUGAUCGUUAUCGCCCUUCCAGCGGCGACAGACAGGAAGCGGUGGAUCUAGCUCGCUGUAGAGGGCAAAUCCCAGUUACCUACAUGCAAGGAGGCUGUCAAACAGAGAAAUCACUGCAGACUGUUGGUACACAGACAUCUGCUGCCCAGCUCAGGAGUGAAGGUAUGUAAGUUUGUAUGUACCAACAGUAAGAUAGGUAAUAGAAGAUUUUAAUUGGUAUAUACUGUUUAGAUUUUAUAUUUGAAUUGUAACAACUGUUUAUCUGUUGUUUUAGCACAGACAGGCCUGUCCUCUUGUUUGGUUUAAUUUUUUGUCUGGUAUUGUGUGUUCUUACAUUAGAGAAGGUUUUGACCUACAUAAUAAUGAACAUUUCACUAAUCUACAAUUCUGAUUGCACUACCUUUUGUUUUGAUGAGGUGAUGGUGAGGACAGCCACAGCUUCCAUCUGGUAGAGGACUGCUUCCGCUCAGUCUUCCAAAUAGUGAUGAGAACAAGGAUCACCACAUCUCCCUGUUUACCCUACUUUCAUGCAUUUCGUCUGCAAGGCCCUGCAAAAGCUUCUCCUUCGUCCUCAAACCCCCAGACUUCUUAAUUAACUCAGUAACCUAUACAUUGCACAUUGGAGUGUGAAGGUAACAGUUUGUUCUAGCUUUGGAGUAGUGGUGUAUUUUUUUGGUUUACAAUAAAGUUGGCUUUAACUAUUA